AAGAAGAAGAAGAAAACAUGUACUAUGUUCAUUAUGUUCGAUGUUUAAAUCCACAGAAGCAAAAGCAUAGCUAAAAUCUCAUGUUUCUGUGUACAUCUGCUCAUGUUGGGGUAUAUUUGGCAGCUUCUGUGUUUGGGGAGCUAUGGAAGUUAGAGCCACUAGCACCACAAAAAAAGUCAAUGUGGCACCGGGAGAUGGAAUUACUUUUAUGUGUGAGUGAUUCCAUAGUAGAGCUUGUUCCAUCAAUGCAAGAUUUCCCAAGUGGUGCAACCUUUGAGGUUAUGGUGCCUCAGCCACGCUCAGAUAUAUAUGUGAACCUUCCAGCACUCAAGAAGCUCGACACAAUGUUGCUUAGCAUUCUUGACGAAUUUUGCACUUCUGAGUUUUGUUACGUUGAUCGUGGUGUAGUAGUAGCUGGUGGGGAUGAAACUGAAACAUUCCCUUUCUCUUCAUCAUCUUCAAAGCUGUCAAGUAGUCAGGAAGAGAAGUGGUGGCUUCCGUUUCCUAAAGUUCCCCAGAAUGGUUUAUCUGAAGAUACAAGAAGGAGAUUGCAGCAGUGUAGGGAAUGCACAAAUCAGAUCCUUAAGGCCGCCAUGGCAAUUAAUAGUAGUGUGUUGACUGAGAUGGAAAUUCCAAAUGCUUACUUGGAGAGCUUGCCCAAGAGUGGAAAAGCUUGUUUGGGUGAGAACAUAUAUCGUCAUAUAACUGCCCAUAGGUUCUCUCCAGAUUUUCUUCUGGAUUACUUGGACCUCUCAUCAGAGUAUUCGACUUUAGAAAUAGCAAACAGGAUAGAGGCAGCUGCACAUAUUUGGAGGAAAAAAUGCCUUCAAAAGCAGAAGGUUCAUGCAAGAGUUGGGAAGAAGUCAUCAUGGGGUGGCAAGGUCAAAGGCUUUGUUGGUGAAGUAAAAAGAAGUAAGCGUCUAGCAAGACGGGCUGAGACCCUCUUACACAGCCUAAGGCUGCGUUUCCCUGCCCUCCCACAGACUACUCUGGACAUGAACAAGAUUCAAUAUAACAAGACCUUACAUGGGUAGCUGUCCUCCAGAGCACUGAUGCGGCAACUUGGGCAGUUGGCUUUAAUAUUUGACAAAUUGAAAGAACUAGAAAAAAACGGUGAAAAGUCUGUCUUAAUGCAGGAUAUUGGACAAUCGAUUCUUGAAAGCUACUCGAGAGUAAUGGAGAGCUUGGCUUUCAACGUUAUGGCAAGGAUAGAUGACGUUCUUUUUGUAGAUGAUGCCACCAAGCGAUGUGCUGCAGCAGAAUCGAUGUCGCUAUUCAACAGAAGUGGUUUGGGUGGUCUUCCUAUCCAGAAACGAAUGUCUCCUAGUCCCUUCUCCAUCCGACACAGCCCUUUUGCCUCUCCAUUUGCAACCCCA
rnacentral:misc_RNA from 1 species